GCGCCGGUGGCGGAAUUGGUAUACGCAGCAGUUUUGCAAACUGCCGCCCUGACCGGGGAUUACGGGUUCGAAUCCCGUCCGGCGCA
rnacentral:tRNA from 1 species